GUAGGUGGCAAGCGUUGUCCGGAAUUAUUGGGCGUAAAGCGCGCGCAGGCGGUUCUUUAAGUCUGAUGUGAAAGCCCACGGCUCAACCGUGGAGGGUCAUUGGAAACUGGAGAACUUGAGUACAGAAGAGGAAAGCGGAAUUCCACGUGUAGCGGUGAAAUGCGUAGAGAUGUGGAGGAACACCAGUGGCGAAGGCGGCUUUCUGGUCUGUAACUGACGCUGAGGCGCGAAAGCGUGGGGAGCAAACAGGAUUAGAUGCCCUGGUAGUCCACGCCGUAAACGACGAGUGCUAAGUGUUAGGGGGUUUCCGCCCCCCUUAGUGCUGCAGCUAACGCAUUAAGCACUCCGCCUGGGAUACGGCCGCAAGGCUG
rnacentral:rRNA from 1 species